ensembl:lncRNA
CAUCUCUCUAAGCGCUUGUGCCUCUUUCUUUUAUGGCCUCAUCAAAAGAACAUAAACAAGAUACCCCAGUGGUGGAUAGUUAAGCUGGUGGUGGGAAGACUUGUUACCAGGUUAUUGUCAUCAUAGUUAUGCUAUCAUUUAAAGGGAUAUUUUGGCAAUGAGGCAAUUUAUCUACUUCCCCAGUGUCGGAUGAACUCGUGGAUACUAUUUUUAUGCCUUUGCGUUUAGUAUGAAGAAAGUUCAAGGUAGUUUCACAAGCCAAUGCUAACUAGUGUUAGCACUCUGACUGGAAGUCUAUGGGUAUCUGCUAGCAUGCUAUGCCCUUUAAGGAAGGAUUUUAGGUUUGUUGUCUGUAUUGGCAUUUGAACUUUAUCCAACUUUUAGCUCAAACAGUUGAUCAAUGACUGCUGGGAAUAUAUUUGUUAACCUUUAUGCAAACUUGAGUAUUUCUCUCAACUUACAAUGUAUGUGCAAUGCAAAAUAGACCUCGUACCUUUUGAUUCUCCCCUUAUUUAAUAAAUACAGUAGCAUUAGCUAUGACUAUGUAAAGGUUCUCAGAAACACAACAUAGGAGCCUGCUAUGUUCAGAUUGCUUUGUUGUUGUACAAUCAACCUUUGAUCUUGUUCAGAGUUUCAUAUUGCCUUCAUCUCUGUUUUGAAAUGUUGUCCCAUCUAUAAAAGUGUUCAAAUGGCCACUUUUCUUUUAAUGGGAUGUCCUCACUAUAACAAUCAUGUACCUUGCGUGAAUUGGCUUGGCCCUUGUCCCCCCCCCACUUUGUGUGACGGUUAGCACAUCCAUUUGUGCUCAGAAAAAUACCUAACUUUGCAAUAGGGCCUUUUUUUCCGUCUUCCACCUCUUCUGUGUAAAACAGCAGAGACCCAUGUUCUGUUAUCUGUGUUGCUUCAUCUUGUCUCAAUCCGUCCUUGCAGAAUGUGGCUCAAAUGUUUGCUUCAUCUAGGUUCAUUUAGUGCUCUGAGAGGUAACGAGAUACGUCGGGUCUAACAUCAAUGUACAGUCCCUACAUCGGACAGCACAAAAAUAGAAACCUCAAUGUAAUCUAUGUGAGAGAGCUGCACGAUGUUGCCAGUAAGGACAAAUCUGAUACCACCGAGCAAUGACAUCACACAAGGGCUGUGGUUCGAUCCAGGCCAGGGGAGCAGGAGAGAGAGAGACUUCUCUGCUCUUCCUUCAGUUUUCUGAGGCCUGUGAACCUCUCAUCACAGUAGUUGGGAGAGAUUUCAAGUCUAGGAAAGAUCCCUUAUGCAGGCAAUUAAUCCGACACGCUUUCUGUUUUAGUAAGAAUGUACAAGUAUGUUUUGUCUGCAUGAUACUUGUUUGAUCAUAUGGGGGUCAGAUCAGGAGUUUCAUUUGUAUGUUUCUGUGAAGUCAUAUAUUAGUCAUGGCACACAGGUGGACUCAGUCAUGCAGUAGACUAAAGCUGGUAAUAUGGCCAUGGAUAUUUAUUUGAGGUAUUUUGUGGGUUACUUUAGGACACCAUGUACACUGCUUUAUGUUCCUCUCGGACCUCAGAUACCAAUAAGCCAUUGCAUUUUAAUCAAGCAUUUUCACCAUGGUGGAUCAAGAGGCCUUGCUCAAAGCAGAAACAUGCAAAUUGUGUUUUUGUUGAUGUCCACAAGGAUGUAUAAAGAUAUAUAUAUAUAUAUAUUUAGUCAUUUGGAAAAAUAUAAGUGAUUAUUAUAUGAGAUUUCUGAUAAUUAAAAAUGCUUACAACAACUCGUUUUACAAGUGACGUGUACAUUUAUAAGCUGAUUUUCAACCUUGUUUUUAGCUGUAACAUAAU